AAACUCAAAUGAAUUGACGGGGACCCGCACAAGCGGUGGAUGAUGUGGUUUAAUUCGAUGCAACGCGAAAAACCUUACCCACCUUUGACAUGUACGGAACCCUUUAGAGAUAGAGGGGUGCUCGAAAGAGAGCCGUAACACAGGUGCUGCAUGGCUGUCGUCAGCUCGUGUCGUGAGAUGUUGGGUUAAGUCCCGCAACGAGCGCAACCCUUGUCAUUAGUUGCUACAUUCAGUUGGGCACUCUAAUGAGACUGCCGGUGACAAGCCGGAGGAAGGUGGGGAUGACGUCAAGUCCUCAUGGCCCUUAUAGGUGGGGCUACACACGUCAUACAAUGGCUGGUACAAAGGGUUGCCAACCCGCGAGGGGGAGCCAAUCCCAUAAAGCCAGUCGUAGUCCGGAUCGUAGUCUGCAACUCGACUACGUGAAGUCGGAAUCGCUAGUAACCGCGAAUCAGCAGGUCGCGGUCGAAUACGUUCCGGGCCUU
rnacentral:rRNA from 1 species